GCGAGUGAAGCGACAAAAGCUCAAAUUUGAAAUCUGGCACCUUCGGUGUCCGAGUUGUAAUUUGAAGAAGGUAACUUUGGAGUUGGCUCUUGUCUAUGUUCCUUGGAACAGGACGUCACAGAGGGUGAGAAUCCCGUGCGAUGAGAUGUCCAACUCUACGCACAGUGCUUUCGAAGAGUCGAGUUGUUUGGGAAUGCAGCUCUAAGUGGGUGGUAAAUUCCAUCUAAAGCUAAAUAUUGGCGAGAGACCGAUAGCGAACAAGUACAGUGAUGGAAAGAUGAAAAGAACUUUGAAAAGAGAGUGAAAAAGUACGUGAAAUUGUUGAAAGGGAAGGGUUUGAGAUCAGACUUGGUAUUUUGUAUGUCUUGCUUUCGGGUGGGGCCUCUGCAGUUUACUGGGCCAGCAUCGGUUUGGACGGUAGGAUAAUGACAUUGGAAUGUGGCACUACUUCGGUGG
rnacentral:rRNA from 1 species